GAAGAGAACCGGGAGAUCUUGUGAGCGCGCGUGCGUCUGAUGUUGCUAAAAAUCCAUUGGCUGGCAUCUCUGUGGUGGAAUGCUGCUGGGACCCCCUUCUAACCUCCUCUCAACCCUCCCCUUGAGUCCACCCAUCCACCCAUUAGGAAUUCCAGCAGGGCACUGUGGGUGGGAUGAAUGGCAUGAGAGCCAAGGAAAUGAAGUUCAGAGGGAUUGGCGUACAGUUAGGCCUCAUCAAGAUCUAUGAGAUCUACUGUCCACUUGAUUGAAGGCCAGGAGUGACAUAUCAGCUGUGGAAGGUGUGAG